rnacentral:rRNA from 1 species
CCUACGGGAGGCAGCAGUGAGGAAUAUUGGACAAUGGGCGCAAGCCUGAUCCAGCCAUGCCGCGUGCAGGAUGACGGUCCUAUGGAUUGUAAACUGCUUUUGCACAGGAAGAAACAACAUUACGUGUAAUGUCUUGACGGUACUGUGAGAAUAAGGAUCGGCUAACUCCGUGCCAGCAGCCGCGGUAAUACGGGGGAUCCAAGCGUUAUCCGGAAUCAUUGGGUUUAAAGGGUCCGUAGGCGGUUUAGUAAGUCAGUGGUGAAAGCCCAUCGCUCAACGGUGGAACGGCCAUUGAUACUGCUAGACUUGAAUUAUUAGGAAGUAACUAGAAUAUGUAGUGUAGCGGUGAAAUGCUUAGAGAUUACAUGGAAUACCAAUUGCGAAGGCAGGUUACUACUAAUGGAUUGACGCUGAUGGACGAAAGCGUGGGUAGCGAACAGGAUUAGAUACCCUGGUAGUCCACGCCGUAAACGAUGGAUACUAGCUGUUGGGAGCAAUCUCAGUGGCUAAGCGAAAGUGAUAAGUAUCCCACCUGGGGAGUACGUUCGCAAGAAUGAAACUCAAAGAGUAGUACGACGNGAGAGAGCGACGACGGACGACGACGGAGGGAGGAG